rnacentral:rRNA from 1 species
UUGGAGGGCAAGUCUGGUGCCAGCAGCCGCGGUAAUUCCAGCUCCAAUAGCGUAUAUUAAAGUUGUUGCAGUUAAAAAGCUCGUAGUUGAACUUCGGGGUUUACCCAUUGGUCAGGCUUAAUUGUCUGUACUGGUGAGAUAAAUCUCUACCUUCUGAGGAACUUUCAUGUCAUUAAUUUGGUGUGAUUGGAAAUCAGGACUGUUACUUUGAAAAAAUUAGAGUGUUUAAAGCAGGCUAACGUCUGAAUACAUUAGCAUGGAAUAAUGAAAUAGGACGGACUGAUUCUAUUUCGUUGGUUUCUAGGAUCACCGUAAUGAUUAAUAGGGAUAGUUGGGGGCAUUAGUAUUCAAUUGUCAGAGGUGAAAUUCUUGGAUUUAUUGAAGACUAACUACUGCGAAAGCAUUUGCCAAGGAUGUUUUCAUUAAUCAAGAACGAAAGUUAGGGGAUCGAAGACGAUCAGAUACCGUCGUAGUCUUAACCAUAAACUAUGCCGACUAGGGAUCGGACGAAGUUAAUUUUAUAAUGACGCGUUCGGCACCUUACGGGAAACCAAAGUGUUUGGGUUC